UAAUACGUUGAUGGAUCGUAGCCCCCUAGCCUCGCUUGUCCUCGUACGUCCUCAAGAUAAGUCUCCCCUAUAUGUGAAACAACUAAUAAUAAUUAGUUAAUUAACACAUACACUAAAAGCUAGGAAAAACCCCUCAUAGUUUGCUCAAACGGAAGGUUUGAAUAUAAGAAAACAUUCUACUCGACGUCACGGACCUGUAUGCGUCAACCACUUGCCAGCCGGAGGCCGGACGCUUCCUCACGAGGCGCUUAGCCCAUGACCACAUGCACAAGCAUGCGCCUAGCAGAGACUGACAGAAGCCAGAAAUAUUCCGUCAGACUUGACAGAAUAUUCCGUUAAACAGUUAACAAAACUUAACGGCAUUACCUAACGCCGUUAGUAUAUUCCAUCAACUUUGACGGAAUAUUCUUCGUCUUCUCUGGUGAGUCUCGCCGUCCGCCGUCGCCAUCUGGUUUGCCGGUUUCUGAGAAAAAAUUCAAAACCUCAUAACUUGCUCAUUUCUUAACCAUUUUCAACGAUCUUUAUAUGGAAAUGAAGCUAUUGAGGAGAAGAACAAGAUUGUACUUUUCAAAAGUCCAAAAAAGUGGAUGGGAAUGGGCUGAAAAAGCUUCGAAAGGUUCAGCCUAUUUUUCUACUCCUCGAAAACGUGUGUUUCGACGUUAGUUCUUCUUCAAACCUAGACUAAUGGCCUCGAGUAGUUGACUAGGUGCUUCCACAACCUUCAAAAACUUGUAACUCGAUCGGGAUCACGUCGGAGCAAACUCAUCCGAGUUAGAGCUUCUGAGUUGACGAGUCAAAACUCACCCAUUUGAGAAUCAAUUUGUAUGGUUGGGUUUGUGGGUUCGAAAGGAACACAUGAUGGGGUUUUUAAGUUCAAUCUGUGAGUGUUUGAUGAAGGUCCUUGUAGUUGCAAAGAAGAGAGUGACGGGUGAAGAGAGAGAAAUGGAAAAGAUGAGAGAGAAAGAGAAAGGUUUUCU
rnacentral:lncRNA from 1 species